GACGCACGCUGGCGGCGUGCUUAACACAUGCAAGUCGAACGAAGUGGCGAACGGGUGAGUAAUACGUGGGUAACCUGCCCUCCUUUUUGGGAUAAGCCUUGGAAACGGGGUCUAAUACCGAAUAAAGGGGGAUGGGCUCGCGGCCUAUCAGCUUGUUGGUGGGGUGAUGGCCUACCAAGGCGGUGACGGGUAGCCGGCCUGAGAGGGUGAGCGGCAUGGUUAUAAGUGAGAUACGGCCCAGACACGGACCAGUGGGAGCAGUGGGGGGUGUUGCACGGUGUGCGAAAGCCUGGUGCGGGGGGGCCGCGAGGGGGAUGUAGGCUUUCGGGUUGUAGACCUCUCUCGCUAUCGAACGGGGAGGUGGAGAAGAAGCCCCGGCUAACUACGUGCCAGCAGCCGCGGUAAUAC
rnacentral:rRNA from 1 species